UCCAGCAACAGAUUAAUCCAUUGGUGUGGUU
rnacentral:piRNA from 1 species